rnacentral:rRNA from 1 species
CCUACGGGUGGCAGCAGUGGGGGAUAUUGCACAAUGGGGGGAACCCUGAUGCAGCGACGCCGCGUGGGUGAAGGAGCGUUUCGGCGCGUAAAGCCCUAUCGGCAGGGAAGAAGGAGGACGGUACCUGACUCAGACGCCCCGGCUAACUACGUGCCAGCAGCCGCGGUAAUACGUAGGGGGCAAGCGUUAUCCGGAUUUACUGGGUGGAAAGGGGGCGCAGACGGCAGCGCAAGCCAGGAGUGAAAGCCCGGGGCCCAACCCCGGGACUGCUCUUGGAACUGCGCGGCUGGAGUGCAGGAGGGGCAGGCGGAAUUCCUGGUGGAGCGGUGAAAUGCGUAGAUAUCAGGAGGAACACCGGUGGCGAAGGCGGCCUGCUGGACUGCGACUGACGUUGAGGCCCGAAAGCGUGGGGAGCAAACAGGAUUAGAUACCCCGGUAGUC